UAAAGUGGCGCACGGGUGAGUAACACGUGGAUAAUCUGCCCGGUGACCCGGAAUAACAUCCCGAAAGGGGUGCUAAUACCGGAUAAGCUCACGAGAUCUUCGGAUCUUGCGGGAAAAGGUGGGGACCUUCGGGCCUACCGUCACCGGAUGAGUCCGCGGCCCAUUAGCUAGUUGGUGGGGUAAUGGCCUACCAAGGCUUCGAUGGGUAGCUGGUCUGAGAGGAUGAUCAGCCACACUGGAACUGAGAUACGGUCCAGACUCCUACGGGAGGCAGCAGUGGGGAAUUUUGCGCAAUGGGCGAAAGCCUGACGCAGCAACGCCGCGUGAGGGAUGAAGGCCUUCGGGUCGUAAACCUCUGUCAGAGGGGAAGAACCGUCGGUGGGAUAAUACCCCAUCGGCCUGACGGUACCCUCAGAGGAAGCACCGGCUAACUCCGUGCCAGCAGCCGCGGUAAUACGGAGGGUGCAAGCGUUGUUCGGAAUUAUUGGGCGUAAAGCGCGUGUAGGCGGCCACUUAAGUCUGGUGUGAAAGCCCUGGGCUCAACCCGGGAAGUGCAUCGGAUACUGAG
rnacentral:rRNA from 1 species